GUGACCCAAAACCUCUGCACCGACAGUGGAUUUGUGGAGAGUCACUGACGGGUGAGCUGGUGUGGAGAAGCCUUGGCGAUUCUCUGUGUCCUCACCUGAACACAGCCCUGCCCCCUCCUGAGGUGAAGGCGAGCAGGACUUCUCAGUGCCUUUAUCCAGAGAAAGGAAGCAAAAAGAUCGACUGCCACUUGCCUAGUCCAGGAUCAUCGAGGAGAGUAGAGCCUUUGGGAUGAGACCGUGAGCUCCUGCCCCAAGGGGAGCGGAACGCUGUGAUGACAUCGGUCCCCCCAGGACAAACUUGGAUCAUCUUCUCAGGACCCUUAACUUCAUCACAUCUGCAAAGUCCAUUUUGCCAGCACCCAGGCACCUUCAUCAAAUCCAUGGGCUGCACAGGAAGACCCACUUUUCAUCCAAAGGCAAGGCGACCGAGAAUUCAAGGCACCGGGUGGGUGAAGGAGCUGGGGUGUUGGGUUCCAGGCUUCCCGCCUUUGCUGUCGAAAGGGGAGGGAUGUGGUCACAUCAGGCAGAAGAGGCCGUCAAGGUGCUGAGCACAGGCCAUCCACAGACCCGGAGAGGACGGCCUCGUCCCAGGUUCUUCGAGGAGCCCGCAGCGACAGCACAGCACUCCUCAGCCUGCCCCUUCCUUCACGUCCAGAAUCUUCCAAAUCGCCUGGCUUGGAGCUCUGCACACAUCUGCUUCUUCCGCUUUUCCUCUGCAAGCUCCCCACUCGUGGCCUUUAAUGACCAAGAUGGAGAUAAAAUCCUUCUACAGAAAUGAAACCAGCAUCCAAACCCCCAUAAGAUGGUUUUUCAGAGACGCUAGUCGGCCAUCUUCUCGGUCUGCCAGCUUUCUGAAUAAAGUCGUAUUCCUGGCCCCAACACCUCGUCUCCGAUUCAUUGGCCUGUCGUGCGGCUAGCAGAGCGAGCUUGGACUCGUAACAAGGAGAGAGCUGUGAUUUGAGUCCACAGGCUGCGUGCUCUAGAACCAGGAGGAACUGACGUUGCAGAUGAAGUCUGAAGACCGUCUGCUAGAGGACUCUCCCGUGCUCGGGAGUGGUCAACCUGUUCUAUUCAGGUCUUCAACUGACGGAUGAGGCAUAUACAUGAUGGAGGGCACGUUGCUUUUCUCAAAGUCCACCAAUUUAAAUGUAAAUCUCAACCAAAAACAUCCUCACAGCAACAUCCAGAAUAAGGUUUGACCAAAUAUCGGGGCACCAUGGCCCAGACAAGUUGACACAUAAAAUUAGCCAUCACACUUGCUUUCCAAAAUCAGAGCUUUGCAGUUACUUUACUGACUUUUAAUUUAACCACAUUGUGGUAACAGAACAUGCUCUAUGAGGUUUUGAUCCCUUUAAAUGUGCUGAAACAUGUUUUACAGCCCAGCAUAUGGUCUAUCCUGAUGAACUAUCCGUGUACAGUUCAAAGAGUGUGCAGUUUAUAGUUACUGUGUGGUUGACUGUGUUAUCUAAUUGUGCAAUAAAUUACGAAGAAAGUGGUGAUAAAAUCUCCAACUAUGAUUGUACUUGCAUCUGUUUUUCCAUUUAGUUCUGCCAGUUGUUGCUUCAGGUAUUUUGAAGCUCUUUUAUUCAGUAUGUGCAUAUUUAUGGU